GCCACAUCUCCAUCUCUCUCCCUCUCACCACUCCUUCUCCACCUCCGGCCGCCGCCACGGCCAGGCCGGCGUGGUGGGGCGCUUCCGCAGCCCAUCCACCCACCAGCACCAACACCCAGCGCCACCAUCACCUCCUGCCGCCAUUGCCACCAUCUCCACUUCGCCGCCAUACCUCACCAGCACCACGUUUGUGCGCCCGACUAGACAAGGCGUCUGGUGUCCCACGCGAUUCUCCUUGCCUGCUGCUGCUCCUUCCCUUGCCUCGCCGCUUCUCCCACGUCCCUACCGCUACUCAUCUCUCUGCUCCUCCUCCUCUGUUCCCCUAACGCUGUUGCUGCUCUUCUUCUCAACGCCCCCUGCUGCUCCUAAUCUUCUCUUCCAAAACUUGCUUCUUCUCUCUGUACCUCUUCUUGCGCUCAUGCUGCUGCUCCUCUAAACCUCUCUGCUGUGCCCCUUCUCUGAACCUCAAAACUGCUGCUGCACUUCUCUGAAUCCGAAUCCUUGCUGCUUCUNNNNNNNNNNNNNNNNNNNNNNNNNNNNNNNNNNNNNNNNNNNNNNNNNNNNNNNNNNNNNNNNNNNNNNNNNNNNNNNNNNNNNNNNNNNNNNNNNNNNNNNNNNNNNNNNNNNNNNNNNNNNNNNNNNNNNNNNNNNNNNNNNNNNNNNNNNNNNNNNNNNNNNNNNNNNNNNNNNNNNNNNNNNNNNNNNNNNNNNNNNNNNNNNNNNNNNNNNNNNNNNNNNNNNNNNNNNNNNNNNNNNNNNNNNNNNNNNNNNNNNNNNNNNNNNNNNNNNNNNNNNNNNNUCUCUCUCUCUCUCUCUCUCUCUCUCUCUCUCUCUCUCUCUCUCUCUGAUCUCAAAUUUCUGACAAGUUUAUUGUUCAGUACUUUGUAAUAUUCAGCAUUGAGAUGUUUUAUUAGAUGCAAUAUUCAGAUUUGGUAAAAACUUGCAACCUGACAAUUGUUCAGUUUCGUACUUGUAAAAUAUAGUGCACUUUAUUAUGUGCNNNNNNNNNNCUCUCUCUGAUCUCAAAUUUCUGACAAGUUUAUUGUUCAGUACUUUGUAAUAUUCAGCAUUGAGAUGUUUUAUUAGAUGUAAUAUUCAGAUUUGGUAAAAACUUGCAACCUGACAAUUGUUCAGUUUCGUACUUGUAAAAUAUAGUGCACUUUAUUAUGUGCUCUGACUAGUUAAUGUCCAGUUGUUUGGAUAAUAUUUAGUAUGUGUGAUAUGCUCUGUGAUAUAGUAAUCUUCUAGUAUAUGUCUGUGAUCCCCUUGUGUAUGUUUCUUGACAUCUACUGUAAUCUGUCAUGUACUAGUAACUUUGCUAUAGUCUAAUUGAUGUUCAGUUGUUAGUCUCUGUGCAAGCUAUAUACCAGUGGCAUUUAUGCUUGUGAUUUUCCAGUGAGCUUGUUUAAUUUCAGUUCAUAUGUUAGCACAAGUACCUUUGCUAUAUAAAUAUAUAUGUGUGUGCUCGUGAUUUAAACAAUCUGUUUUCUGUCCAGUAAUUUUGUUUCUUCCCUUCUUCCCUUUUUUAUACGCUUGCUAGAUAUAUUUAUAUGUCCAUGUCUUUUGACUUCCCUUGUCACUGAUGUCAGUAUUUCAAUUCCUCAAGCAUUACGAAAAUACCAAAAAGGAAGCAAGUAAAAUCUGAUCUAGCUUUAGACUUGCAUCGUCGCCGUCGCCUAGUCCCUGUGGAGAACACGACACUCGCAGUUUGGGCGUAAAAUCCCACUGUACUUACACCUGAUUAUUUUGGCGCCGUUGCCGGGGACUAGCAUCGAGCGAUUGUGCUAGGCUAUAGACUAGGUUUGUCUUGUUUUCAUCUUGUGCCAUAUAUUUGUGAUAUAUCUCUAGCCACUAACCCAUGUUCUAGUUAGUAUCUUUUUGUCUUCUUUUCCUUUUUGCAGGUUGGAUUAUCCUCUCGGAAAUGGCUUACUAUUCAGAUCAUCAUGCUUAUGCGAGCAACACUACAAACAGCACGGAAAGUAUUCAAGACCUGAUAAGUAAUAUUUCCCAUCGAUUAGAUGAUUUAGCUCGGCAGCGAGAAGUAGUUUUUUAUGAUAGGCCUAGCUCUUAUGAUCCUUUUUCUAGAGGCCAUCCUUAUGUUGCUCCUACCUGCCAUAUUUGUGGAUUUCAGGGCCAUACGCCCGCUGAAUGUCAGCGUGGUUACUCUUACCCUCCAGAUUGUUUUGGCAUGAGCUUCGCUCAAGAGCAUAGCUCAUACCAAAACAAUUACUCACAUGGGUGGCCUGAAAACCCGAAUAUGUCAUAUAGGAGCAACAACCUUCAGAUCUCACCAUUUGUUUCUAGUAAUCAUAUGCAGGGAUUUAGGUACAAUGAGGAGAGCCACAGCUAUGCACCACAACAAUGCUAUUCACCUCCUACUCAUAUACCUCAACACCAGGAGACAUGUCCAAUGGAGUUAAAUGGUCCUCCAUUUGGUCAACCAUCACCUUCAACACAAGUGCCUACUCAAGAUGAGUUCGAUGACAUAGACAAGCUCACACUUUUGAGUCUCGAGUUCACUUGGAGUGCCGAGGAUGACCCUAUUAGGAAGGUUAUACUAGAGGAAAUGAAGAAGAUCAAGAGUGGGAAUGAGCUAGUGGAAGAAGUAAAGAAGAUUGAGAAGAACAUCAACGCUGGCAGUACUAUUUCUUCACAGCUUGAGCUGAGUAAUUCUGGGAUUCCCCUUGAUACAUGUGAGGUUCCAAUACCGUCACAUCCAGCUGAGCAAGAUAGCAAGUGCCUUGAGCAUGAGAUACCUCAGAUUGAAGAUGAACUAGAAGACAAGGAACAAGAUGGUCAAGAGCUGCAAUUCCCAAGUGAUCAAGUUGAAGACUCAUCAUCUACUACUCCUGAAGAAGUACAAGAAGUUGUUGUAGAUGAAGAUGAAGAACCUGAGAUUCAUUGUCCUAUUAUCAUACAUGAGUAUGAUGUGUCAGGUUUACCCAAUCCUUUUGAUGACAUGAGUCCUUAUGAUUUAUUUGCUUCUACCUUGCAUUACAUGAUGCCAUCACUUAAGAUUGAUUUGAAAAAUCAUUUACUUGGGUAUGAUGAUACAUAUACUGUUGGUGGCAUUGCUCUCAUUUGUGAUGAUCACAAUUACUUUCCUCAUGCUAGUCUUGAGCUUAAUGAUAAAUGUCAUCCUCGUGUGAGUAUUAACCAUGCUGAUUUCUGCCAUCCUAAACAUGUGCUUUAUAGUUAUGCUUAUAUAAUUGGAUAUUCCAUUGAUGACUUGGAGGGCAUCGACCGUAUCACUUGUAGUUGUUUGUGUGAGUCUUAUUUAAGGCUUUUGCUACUGCACUGUUUACUACAUGCUGACCAGGUUCGUGGUGACAUUCCUUGGGAUCCUGGUGGAGUCAGAGCAUGGCGAUGAGGAGAAGCAAUGGGGUACACAUAUGGAAGAGUGAAGCUGGAGCAUCCAUGAGGAAGCAAGGGAGAAGAGCUGCAGCUGGUGAGGUGAUCGAGCGAGUGCUACAUGAUCAAAGCCCGGUGAGAUGUUUCAUGACCCAUUCUGAAUAUCAUAAAUACAUGCUGAAUUCAAUUGCUAGUUGGGUUGCUUGAAAUAGUUAUUACUUGUUGUCAAGCUGAAAUUCAUCUUUGGCAUUGUGCUUGAUGUGAAUUUGUGAACUUGAUUUCUGAAUGCCUUGUAAACUAGUGAUCUACACCAUGCAUGCUUUGCUGAAAUUUGUGGAAGUUAUUAGUUUUGAGUGCUCAAAUCCCUAGUACACUAGAAAACUUGAUCAUUUUUUGCUUUUACCUUGAUACACCUAGAUCACCAUGUUUAGAUGCUGAAUUUGUGCUAAGUGUGUUCCCAUUGAGAGCAAUCACCUAACCACUAUGGAUUAGCAUGCUAUGUUCCCUGGAUCGGUAGCAUGUGAACCAGACAUGGAGAAGUGAUGAUUCCUGUUUUUGUGCUUAUGCGUUGUUCAUUUAAGAUAAGUAAUAAUGAAUAAAUUAGUCUGACUACCUACAGUAGCAUGUCAUGUCCUCGGGAUCGGUGGCAUGUGAAAUCGGGUUAGCUUGGGCAGUAAUUAUUUAUAAAAACAUGUAAUUGUCGAACCAGGUGUAUACCAUGUUCUCGGGAUCGGUGGUAUGUUCCUUUGGGGAGACAAAUAAAAAAACUAAUAUUUGGUUGAGCCAGGUGUAUACCAUGUUCUCGGGAUCGGUGGUAUGUUCCUUUGGUGAGACUGAUAAAAUAAUAUCUUUGCUUCCUUCAAAUUCAAUUAGUGGUUCAACCGCAAUGUUGUGUUCCUGGUAAUAAGUGACCUGAUCACAAGCUUUGUUCUCAGGAUCAUGCUCUCUUUAGGAACCUUUUGGCACAUUCAUCAUUUAAACUUGUUGAUCCUCUUUUAUCAUUGUAAAGGUUUAAAUGGUCAUGCUUACUAGUGUCCUAUUGCUCUGUAGCACUCUUAACCAUUGAUUUUCACUAGCUAAGUCCAAAAGCAUCCAUUGUUUAGAGAUCUACUUCACUUGGACAUUCUCUAGUCAGCUCACUAUUCACUAUCUUGCUCUUGUCAUACGCCUUUACUUGAGGACAAGUAAAGAUUUAAGUGUGGGGGAACUUGAUAAGUAUAUUUCACAUAUAUAAUUUUGGUACUCAAAUGUAGCAUCUAUCGUGAUAUAUCCGUCCAUUCUUGCCAUGAUUGAUUGAAUAUUGCUUGAUAAUCAUAAAAAAAGAUCAUUUACUCGUCAUUUGUUUCUUCUGCAGAAAAGUGCGCAAAGGCACUCAAGAUUCUGACUAAGAGGCCGAAGAAUACAAGACAAGGACGGGAAAGAAAGAAGGGGGACCUGAGCAUGAAGGAAAGAAGAAACCGAGGGCCAAACUAGAGAAGGGAAGGGAUGUGCUUGCGAAGAAAGAAGGGAGCAGGACGGCCAAAUCAAAAAGUGGCAAAUCUGAUCGUGAGAUCAAAUCCCUAGCGCUAGCCACCGAUCCCCGGGGGGGCUGGCCACAUCUCCAUCUCUCUCCCUCUCACCACUCCUUCUCCACCUCCGGCCGCCGCCACGGCCAGGCCGGCGUGGUGGGGCGCCUCCGCAGCCCAUCCACCCACCAGCACCAACACCCAGCGCCAACAUCACCUCCUGCCGCCAGCGCCACCAGCUCCACUUCACCGCCGUACCUCACCAGCACCACGUUCGUGCGCCCGACCAGACGAGGCGUCUGGUGUCCCACGCGAUUCUCCUUGCCUCCUGCUGCUCCUUCCCUUGCCUCGCUGCUUCUCCCACGCCCCUACCGCUGCUCAUCUCUCUGCUCCUCCUCCUCUGUUCCCCUAACGCUGCUGCUUCUCUUCUUCUCAAUGCCCCCUGCUGCUCCUAAUCUUCUCUUCCAAAACUUGCUUCUUCUCUCUGUACCUCUUCUUGUGCUCAUGUUGCUGCUCCUCUAAACUUCUCUGUUGCGCCCCUUCUCUGAACCUCAAAAUUGCUGCUGCACUUCUCUGAAUCCGAAUCCUUGCUGCUUCUCCUUCUCUCUCUCUCUCUCUCUCUCUCUCUCUCUCUCUCUCUCUCUCUCUGAUCUCAAAUUUCUGACAAGUUUAUUGUUCAGUACUUUGUAAUAUUCAGCAUUGAGAUGUUUUAUUAGAUGCAAUAUUCAGAUUUGGUAAAAACUUGCAACCUGACAAUUGUUCAGUUUCGUACUUGUAAAAUAUAGUGCACUUUAUUAUGUGCUCUGACUAGUUAAUGUCCAGUUGUUUGGAUAAUAUUUAGUAUGUGUGAUAUGCUCCAUGAUAUAGUAAUCUUCUAGUAUAUGUCUGUGAUCCCCUUGUGUAUGUUUCUUGACAUCUACUGUAAUCUGUCAUGUACUAGUAACUUUGCUAUAGUCUAAUUGAUGUUCAGUUGUUAGUCUCUGUGCAAGCUAUAUACCAGUGGCAUUUAUGCUUGUGAUUUUCCAGUGAGCUUGUUUAAUUUCAGUUCAUAUGUUAGCACAAGUACCUUUGCUAUAUAAAUAUAUAUGUGUG
rnacentral:lncRNA from 1 species